CCAAAUUUCCUUUCUACUUUUUAAAUCUUGUUAUGUUGCCUCUUGGGUAGGUUUCAACCUGUUUCCUGUAGAAAAAAUAAGAUUGAAAAAGUACAUUAUUAGUAUGUAUCAAUGGUAGUGCAUAACACAUCAGAUUGUACACAAUGAUGGCCCUUUGUAUGGAAGAACAAGUGAACACAUCAACAUGUAUUUUUUGUGUUUGUAC
rnacentral:lncRNA from 1 species